GGGGCACUGACUACAUGCAGGCGAGGGAAGGCGGAGAGUUGUGAGCUGGCCCCUCCGGGCAUGUGCACGCUCUCUUCCGGACUUUCGCCGUAUGGGCGCGGGGCGACCCGCGUCUUCAUAUACCUCUUCGUGUAGAAAGUCUUUGAAUGUCGAAACCAUCAUCGAGUCGCGACUUCUAGGAGACGCGAUUCUUUGAGACAAAAGUUAUUACAACUUUCAGCAACGGAUCUCUUGGCUCUCGCAUCGAUGAAGAACGCAGCGAAUCGCGAUAUGUAAUGUGAAUUGCAGAUCUACAGUGAAUCAUCGAAUCUUUGAACGCACCUUGCGCUCCUCGGUGUUCCGAGGAGCAUGCCUGUUUGAGUGUCAGUAAAUUCUCAACCCCUCUCGAUUUGCUUCGAGAGGGCGCUUGGAUGGUGGAGGCUGCCGGAAACCUGGAUUCGUUCAGGACUCGGGCUCCUCUGAAAUGAAUCGGCUUGCGGUCGACCUUCGACUUUGCAUGACAAGGCCUUUGGCGUGAUAAUGAUCGCCGUUCGCCGAAGUGCACAACAGAAAAAGGUCCCGCACAUCUAGUGCGUCUACGCCUACCGGGCAUCUACCUCAUUGACGUUUUACCUCGCAGCAAUGUAGAUUUCCCGCUGGACCUUCCCCAAUGUCUCAGCCGGAGAA
rnacentral:rRNA from 1 species